CAUUCUACUAACUAUAAGUAACUUUUCAACUACAUGUCUACUAACUGUCAUUAGAGAAUUAGUAGACUGUUUGCUUAAUCGCUGCUAAAACCUUAUUGUGUUGGUCCCCCAACAGACAUUCUACUGUCUAUAAGUAACCUGGCAACUACAAUUCAACUUAUUCUCCUAACCUGAACACCUAACCUGACAGAGUUAGUUGACCUGAAGUUGAAAAGUUACUUAUAGUUAGUAGGAUGUCUAAAGUGAACUAUCGAAAUAAAGUCUAACCAAAUAGGGUAUAUUUGAUGUGGUUAUCUAAUCUCUUAAUGCAGAUUUAAAAUUUUUGGACCAUUUUCACAGACCUUGGUGAUGCCUUUCCCCCCAAAAAAGUUACAUGAGUCAGGCAAAGUGAUAUCAGAUAACACUGGCAGUACAAGACAGGAAGAAAUGUCAGCAACCAUGUCAGAGGAUUAUGCUGAAAGGGAGGAAAGGGCCUCAACAUCACUCACUACUUUUUUCUCAGCCACUACCAGCCCAUCAGCAGAGCCUGCCACUGAAGAGUGGAAAAUUGAGCCUGAUCUUGAAACAGCUGCCCGGCUGUUUCGAAGACAUAUCUUAAAGAAUGCUGAGGACAAACCAGACCUAGUUGUUACACUAGAUCUACACAGCUGUGAAAAGGAUCGAGAACGGGAAAUGUUAACUUUUUAUAAACGUCCAAAUAUUGAUUGGACAAGUCCGUUUACUGUAAAACUGAAAGGAGAUGCUGCAUUAGGGGAUGGAGUAACACGGCAUUUUUUCACAUUGGUAAUGGAUAAGCUCCACAAUGGAUUUGAACUGGACAUUGAUAACUGUGGAAAAACACUUUUAUUCAACGGAGAAGAUGAUCACAAGGUCCCUUCGACAUCUAGACCACUUUUGGAUGGUGACCUGUUCAGAGUUGUGGGAAGAAUGAUUGGACAUUCAUUUAUUAAUGGAGGUCCACUCUACUCAGGACUUAGUGCAGCUUUCUUCCCCCUUUUAAGUGGCAGUAAGGAUGAUACUCCAAUUUUGGAGUUGAAGGACUGUCCUGAUACAGAUGUGAUUGAAGUUGUGUCCCUUCUGGAAAGCCAGAAUGAACUAAAUCCGAACGAAAUGGACAGUAUCAACAAUCUGGCCAUCAGUUGGGACCUGCCAGCAGUCAGCAACAUCAACAGAAGAUGGUUGGCAGAAACCAUUCUCUACCAUGGGGUUAUUGGUCGACGUGAAAAACAGAUCGCACAGCUGCGGAGAGGACUCAAAGACACUGGUGUUUUGAGAAUGAUAAAAGAACAAACCAGUUUAGCUGCAGUACUGUUUCCCAGAUCUUCUGAACUAGUACUGGAACCAGAGAUGAUACUUAAGAGGGUCAUCUGGCCAGAACCUGACAGUGAUGAAGAUGAAGCCCAAUUCAACCUGGAGCAAUCUUGUGACGUUACAGCCUUCUUGCGUGAAUAUAUUCAAACAG
ensembl:lncRNA